UGCAUAUCUGUGACAACCUCAUUUACAGAGUUCUAUCAACUUGACUUGUGCUGUCUCUUAAAUCAGUGGUAUGCUCUUUGGUAUUGGACCCAAAUUUCUUUUUAUUUUUUUUUUUUGAGAGUAUCAGAUGAGGAUUCUCUGGGAGACUUGUUCCAACUGCCUUUUUUUCACUCUCAUAUUGUUUUGCUCCUCAUAAACCAAGAUCACAAUCUGUCCUGGAUUGUGUUUGGCAACAAGAGUAACCAUGAGGUCAUUUCCACUAUUAUAGGGUCAAGCCUGAAUUGGAGGCGGCAGUACAUGCGACUUGACUGACUUGUUCUACCGGAUGACACAGUAGUGAGGAUGAGAUUAGUGAAAUCAGUGUAGCCCACGGGAAAGUCCUGCCCAUCCCCACUCCAACCCCUCCUGUGGGAAUUCUUCCAGGGGACUUGUUGAGGGAAGGCGUUGCUAUGAGACAGUGCUGCAGCUGGGCUCUGUGGGGGGCCUGGGUGGUCUCCUAAAAGCGAGCAGUAUCUGCACUUUGAGAAGAUUAGAGGUUUUAUGUGCCACCAGUAUGACACCACUGGCAUAGGUCAUGACCGACAUAUACUAUAAAAAAGCCUCUCGUUCAUUCAUCCAUUAUUUAUUGAAACCAUACUAUAUGCCAGAUAUGCGGCUAGGUUCUGGGGAUAUACUGUCCUUACCCUUGAGGGAAUCACACCUUGCUAGAGAGGGCAAAGAAAGAACACAAAAGACUGCCUCUACCAAGGGCAAGAGAAAAGAGAGGAAGAAGGACACAGGAUGAUGGUCGGUAAGUCCCAUUGUGGCUGUACAGACAAGGGAACACGUACCUGUAAUACAACAUGAUGGAUGCCAUGGGAGAGGUGAGAUGAAGUUCAGAUGUGAACACACCAGAAUAGCAUCUAACCCCAUCUUCCAAGGUCAGUGAAUUGUUUUUGGAAGAUAUGAUAUUUAAGCACAGGCUUAAAGAAUGAGAGGUCAUAUAGGUAAAGAAGUACACAGAGGAUGUUCUUGAAAGAGGGAUUGUUGUAUAAAGGGCUCUGAGGCAUCACAGAAUCUGGGAACACAGGGACAUACAGGUAGUACAGUAGUACUAGUAGGAGUAUUAGUACUAGCAGUACUGGGAGUACUAGUAGUACAGUAGGUCUGGAGCACAAGCGAACAAGGGUAGGCCCAGCGAAGGAAAGGCCUGAGAAGAUAGAGUAGUAGUUUGAAGGGCCUUGAAGGCCAGGCAGUCGCUCUUCUGGUCUUUGUCCCAGGACUUUGAAUGGGAUCAUUGCAUCUCUGGGAGAGCAGUGUUACACCACAUGUCCCCAUAUCCCUGGCCUGUUCGCUAGGGUUUGUGGUACAGAAACAAUACAAAACAAAGAGUACAGGUGAGCUCAGAGGAUGGGGUAUGUACACGGACACCCAGAAAGAAGAUGUUGAGUGGGGGAGCCUAGUUCUCUGAGUCUUAACCUGCAUCUCAGAGGUAGAGCAAGCGGAUAACAGAGGUAGGACUAGCCUCAGCUGACGGAAACAGAUUCAAAGUAACAAGAGGUGAAGCCCGAUAGACAUGCAUUUACCUUUCCCGUGGAAUAGUCUAGGGCUGCUGUGGCAGCAUGGCCAUACCCACCUGCAGCCCACUGCCUUUGUUUCAGAAGCAUCGCUCUCCGUGUGGUGUUCAUGCUGUGGCUCCUGAAGCUAGAGCUACCACACUUGCUUGUGGGACGUUGAGCUCCCAACCAGCAGCCCUUUCCUUAAGGGCUAGUGCUUUCUCCUGUUUCUCCCCAGGUCAGUCAGGCUCAACUGUGUGCUUCUUAUUGGAUUCCUCAGCCUUGCUUCCUGGCACUCUGUUUGAUGGAAAUUUCUACCACCACCUUCAUUAAGUAACUGAUUGUUGAUGUACAGUGGUGAAGUAACCAAGAGGCACUCAGGCAGUAAGUGGGAGGGCCAGUGCACCACCCCAGACCUUCUGCUCAGAGACCACAUCUAGAUCAUUACCUACCACUCCAGGCCAGGUCCAAACACCCAACAGAGAACUUUCAACUCAAAUUCCCCUGAGCCAUUCAACAGGGCCUUCUCUUCAGGAACUUCAUCCUCUCCGGGUGAGAAGCGCUCAACAGCCCUGGGCCUCCUUCUCCAGAGAGACGUCAGAAUAUCCUGCUCGACAAAAACCCUUCACAGAAGUAAUCAUCCCAACUUGCAGAAGAGGGAGCUAAAGUUCAGAGAAGUUGAGUGAACUCAAGGAAAUCAUCCUACUGGUGGAAGCAGGAUCCCAACUCAGAUCUGGGUGUCGUGAAACCGUUCUUUAACAGCUCUCACCUACCUGCCUUUCUGGUAUUUGUCCAAGCAUGUAGGAAAUACCAACUAAACCACUACGCUAGCUGUGGAAAUUCAUAUCUUGUUGAAUGAAUGUAUGCUGUUGCUCCUUCCUCUUGUCUGAUCCCCAAAUCCAUGAAUUCACCGACUUACCUACAACCUACGAGCCUGUGAACAUCAUAUCGGCACCUCAAACUCAACAAACUUGCCCCAGACUGCUCCUCCUGGUCCGGGGUUGGCUAUCUCAGAGAAUGUUCCACAAUUGGCCUGAUCAUUUGGAGUCAGAAAACAGGAAGUCAGUUCUUCCUCCCAGUGCCCUGCGGCCACCACCCUGGUUCUCUGGACUCCGCACAUCGCCUCUUACCUUCCUCCUGUCUAUUCUCUUCAAAAGGCUUGUUGUACCUGUUGUGUAAAACAGUGGAAUGGCUCCUAGCAGGAAAGGAUGGCAUAAAAUUCAAAAUCCUUCCUCAGCGUACACAGCCUAGCAGGGUCCGGCCCCUCCCUGGCCCCGCAGCCCCAUCUCCCACACCCUUGGCUCUGUGCAUGUCUGUCACAGACAGCCUUUCUACACUGCCCCAAAGCCACUGUAUUUCUUCCAGUCUCAGGUUCCGGGCAUUUGAAUAAUUAAUGAUUCCCCACCCGAUUUCGUUUUCCCCGUGGUUCUUAGUGUCUUCUAAGCUAUUUUAUAACUCACUUAUGGUAUCGUUGCUUAUUGUCUGUCUCCCUACACUGGAAUAUAAGCUCCCCUACAACAGAGGCUAUCAUCCAUUUCAUUCACUAGAACCCCGAGCAAUGUCUGGGUCCUUCUGCUUAACAAACAGCUGUUGAAUAAAUUAUUUCAUUCACUUUUAUGUAUGUCACUUAGAUGAAUAAAGAACCU